AAAAAAGGUUAUUUUCUUGCAUUGUGUAGCAGACAAGGUAGGAACUCAGCCAGGUGCCCAUUGUGCUUACUGUACUCUGCAAAUAAUCUCUGCUGUAACCAGGAUUUAUUUUUUGGAAUACUAAUGCUAAUACUAUUGAAGAUAGGUCAGAGCAGUUGAGUCUAUAUUUAAGAUAUUAGAGGUGGUGUGCUGAAAACUCAUCCUAAUUAGCUGCAGAAUGAGGGAGCUGAAACUUGGCUUCAUAUAGCCAACAUAAAAGUAAUUACUUGCUGAAUGAUAUAUACAUAUAUAUUAACUUUCUGAAAUGAGCAUACAAAAUCCCGAGCCUUAUGAAAAAGCAGCAUUAGACUAUUGGUGAAUGAUUGACACUUUAUUUUGAGUUCAGUUGCACUGCCUUUUUGUGCAAUGACAGUUUUUACCCUGUCUGAUGGCUCUUACCUUUCAAGUUUUGUAAACCACAUUCUUGCACCAACACUUUGUCUCUUGCAGAGUUCCUAUGAAUGUUCUUCAGCUGUAGUAAAAGGAUGAAUUUCUCUUCUUUUUAAAAGUAAGUCUUGAUGCUGAAUAUUGACCCACUUGCACAGUAAAAUAUUAAAUGUGUUUUGUAGUAACUUGCAGUAGCACUAGUUGUGAAAAUAUCAUUGACAGUAUGGGAGACUCAAACUAGUGGCAGUAACAUAUUUAACUGGUGUGAGUAGUCCCGUUGAGGCAAGCAGAAACUAUUUAAUACUCUGCAUUUUGGCAGCUGGGUGACUUGAAUGUGUCUAAAUUUAUAUAUAUAGUCAAGUAAGUUCAAUUGCAGUGAGUUCUAUCAUUUUUGCUAUAGUGACUCCCAGCUCCCAUUAGCACAUCCCCAAAUUGUGGCUGACUGUAACAGUUUCUUCAGGUGCUGCUUCCUUGCAAGAGGCAGAGAAAGGAUGGUCUUUGUUUGUGGAAAUCUAUAUAGAUACAGCAAUCAGCUGUCAUCCCUUAGUGUCUUUUUUCACAAACUGAAACACAGGAGGCUCUGUCUGAACAUCAGGAAGCACUUCUUCACUGUGAUGGUGACCGAGCACUUACACAGGUUGCCCAGGAAGGUUAUAAAGUCUCCAUACUUGAAGAUAUCUAAAAGCUGUCUGGAUAGAAUCAUGGGCAGCAUGCUCUAGGUGGCCCUUCUUGAGCAUGGGGUUGGACCAGAUGACCUCUAGAGUUCCCUUCCAACCGCAACCAUUCUGUGAUUCUGUAAUUCUUUUCCUCACUUUAUACACAGUAAACUAUUUUACUUCUGCUUCUAUCUUUUUCCUAUUUCACAGUUUGUUCCAUUGCUGCUUAUUGUCACAUGAGUAAUCCUUUCAUUAAUAAAGCGGGGGGGGGGAGAAGGGUUACAGAAGGUCAAUAUUCAUCUGAAUAAAUGUAAUGUAAAGCAUGUAGCGAUCACCUUUGCCUCGUGUGUUAUUUAGCUUGAGUUGAGGCUUAAGUGUUUAAAAAAAAAAUGAAUCCCAUCAGGAGUAUGUUCAUGAUUUAACCUCCAUAACUAAUAAAGUACAGGAUUAAAUAUGUGUUUAAUGCAGAGGAAUUAUCACUUUCCUGAUGACUCUUAAUUGCUUACAAAUAGUGGAUUUUGCUAUUCAGUUAUGAUCGGGCCUGAGGAAGCAACUGAAGCUCAGAGAUUUCUUUUGCAUAAGGCUUUCCUGGUGCAGUGAUGUCAAUAGGCUGAUGAGAUAUUCCUAGUGUGAUGGCAGCUCUUAACCAAGUGCCAGUGAGACUUGCUCCUUGCCCCUUCACCAGGGAAAAGGAGCUGUUCUGAGGGGGAGGAAAUCAUGGAAGGACAUGACAAACCACGCUUUUGUACAGAGGAAAGGACCUUGCCAGGGCAGAAAUGUGGAUGAGGUGAGGAUUUGCUGCAGUUGAAGAUGAAAGGAGCUGCCAAGUAGUGUCAGAUAGGUAUGGAGGCUUCAAAUAAUAAGGAAUAUCUGCUUGGCUGCACUGACUCCUUUUCAAGGUCACCUGUGUUUAGUCUUCAGGGAGUUGCAUCACUGUAUCCCCCACACAGCCAUUAAGGCAAGAAGCUGAUAGUGUAGAGCAAGCCUUGGAGAAAAGGUGCACUUCACACUAGUUGUUAAACUCUUGUAGUCCUUGCCUUGAAGAGCAAAUAUGCUAGAGAGUGUUUGCUUUGCUGCUGCUUUGUGACAUACUGCACUCUCCUGCAGGUAUGGCUUGAGGGACCAGGAGGAAGAAGGAAAUGUAGAUAUAUCUGGGAAGAGAAGCAAAAAGUGGGAGAGGACAAGGCAGAGGGUGGAGGGUGGAAGAGGCUGUAGAAGUUGCCAAAGGAGCAAGAUUUAGAUUCUGCUGUGAAGUUUGAUGUGCAUGUGACCAUGACUUGUCAAAUCCAAAAUGGAACUGAAAGGCAUGGAAUAGUGCAUGGAGGCAAAGCUCAGUGGUCAAGAAGAGCUGCUCUCUGGAUCACUCCUGGAAGAGAAAACAGGCUCAAGCCUGCAGGAGGGUGCUUCUUUCAUCCAAGGCUUUUUCAGAAAUAUUUUAAAAUAACCUCUUCAACUUAUGCUCAUUUGUGGGUUUAUGUACUGGCUGGUUUGUUGAAAUAUUAAUCUUGUAGUUUCAUUAGGCACAAUGCAUACCAUGUGGGUUUGAUUAAGAAGCAAGAAUAAAAACACAAUGAAAAUUGAA